UAACAAGGUUUCCGUAGGUGAACCUGCGGAAGGAUCAUUAC
rnacentral:rRNA from 8 species